rnacentral:rRNA from 1 species
CCUACGGGAGGCAGCAGUAAGGAAUAUUGGUCAAUGGGCGAAAGCCUGAACCAGCCAUGCCGCGUGAAGGAUGAAGGCCCUCCGGGUUGUAAACUUCUUUUAUCUGGGACGAACCCCUCAAAUUCUUUUGAGGCUGACGGUACCAGAGGAAUCAGCACCGGCUAACUCCGUGCCAGCAGCCGCGGUAAUACGGAGGGUGCAAGCGUUAUCCGGAUUCACUGGGUUUAAAGGGUGCGCAGGCGGGCCGGUAAGUCAGUGGUGAAAUCCUGGGGCUUAACCCCAGAACUGCCGUUGAUACUACGGGUCUUGAAUGUUGUGGAGGCGAGCGGAAUAUGUCAUGUAGCGGUGAAAUGCAUAGAGAUGACAUAGAACACCAAUUGCGCAGGCAGCUCGCUACGCAAAGAUUGACGCUGAGGCACGAAAGCGUGGGGAUCAAACAG